rnacentral:sRNA from 1 species
GUACCGGGAUUCCGGCCGAGCACCGUGCGGGGAGUCUCAGCCCCGCUCUCUCUCACUGCUCUUCCCAGAGAGGACGCUCAUGCUGCCCCUGACUGAGGGCUCGCUGCGGCUGCGGGCGGACGAUGAGGACAGCCUGACCUCAGAGGAUUCCUUCUUCUCUGCCACCGAGCUCUUUGAGUCCCUGCAGACCGGAGAUUACCCGAUCCCACUCUCCAGACCCGCUGCUGCCUACGAGGAGGCCCUGCAGCUGGUGAAGGAGGGCAGAGUGCCCUGCCGGACCCUCAGGGGCUUCUGGAAGACAAGAGUAACCAGCUUUUCUUCGGGAAAGUGGGCCGACAGAUGGUGACAGGCCUGAUGACCAAGGCUGAGAAGAGCCCCAAAGGCUUCCUGGAGAGCUACGAGGAGAUGCUGAGCUAUGCCCUGCGGCCCGAGACCUGGGCCACGACACGGCUGGAGCUGGAGGGCCGAGGGGUGGUAUGCAUGAGCUUCUUCGAUAUCGUGCUGGACUUCAUCCUCAUGGACGCCUUUGAGGACCUGGAGAACCCCCCGGCCUCGGUGCUCGCCGUCCUGCGGAACCGCUGGCUG